rnacentral:rRNA from 1 species
GAGUUUGAUCAUGGCUCAGAUUGAACGCUGGCGGCAGGCCUAACACAUGCAAGUCGAACGGUAACAGGAAACAGCUUGCUGUUUCGCUGACGAGUGGCGGACGGGUGAGUAAUGUCUGGGAAACUGCCUGAUGGAGGGGGAUAACUACUGGAAACGGUAGCUAAUACCGCAUAACGUCGCAAGACCAAAGAGGGGGACCUUCGGGCCUCUUGCCAUCAGAUGUGCCCAGAUGGGAUUAGCUAGUAGGCGGGGUAACGGCUCACCUAGGCGACGAUCCCUAGCUGGUCUGAGAGGAUGACCAGCCACACUGGAACUGAGACACGGUCCAGACUCCUACGGGAGGCGGCAGUGGGGAAUAUUGCACAAUGGGCGCAAGCCUGAUGCAGCCAUGCCGCGUGUAUGAAGAAGGCCUUCGGGUUGUAAAGUACUUUCAGCGGGGAGGAAGGGAGUAAAGUUAAUACCUUUGCUCAUUGACGUUACCCGCAGAAGAAGCACCGGCUAACUCCGUGCCAGCAGCCGCGGUAAUACGGAGGGUGCAAGCGUUAAUCGGAAUUACUGGGCGUAAAGCGCACGCAGGCGGUUUGUUAAGUCAGAUGUGAAAUCCCCGGGCUCAACCUGGGAACUGCAUCUGAUACUGGCAAGCUUGAGUCUCGUAGAGGGGGGUAGAAUUCCAGGUGUAGCGGUGAAAUGCGUAGAGAUCUGGAGGAAUACCGGUGGCGAAGGCGGCCCCCUGGACGAAGACUGACGCUCAGGUGCGAAAGCGUGGGGAGCAAACAGGAUUAGAUACCCUGGUAGUCCACGCCGUAAACGAUGUCGACUUGGAGGUUGUGCCCUUGAGGCGUGGCUUCCGGAGCUAACGCGUUAAGUCGACCGCCUGGGGAGUACGGCCGCAAGGUUAAAACUCAAAUGAAUUGACGGGGGCCCGCACAAGCGGUGGAGCAUGUGGUUUAAUUCGAUGCAACGCGAAGAACCUUACCUGGUCUUGACAUCCACGGAAGUUUUCAGAGAUGAGAAUGUGCCUUCGGGAACCGUGAGACAGGUGCUGCAUGGCUGUCGUCAGCUCGUGUUGUGAAAUGUUGGGUUAAGUCCCGCAACGAGCGCAACCCUUAUCCUUUGUUGCCAGCGGUCCGGCCGGGAACUCAAAGGAGACUGCCAGUGAUAAACUGGAGGAAGGUGGGGAUGACGUCAAGUCAUCAUGACCCUUACGACCAGGGCUACACACGUGCUACAAUGGCGCAUACAAAGAGAAGCGACCUCGCGAGAGCAAGCGGACCUCAUAAAGUGCGUCGUAGUCCGGAUUGGAGUCUGCAACUCGACUCCAUGAAGUCGGAAUCGCUAGUAAUCGUGGAUCAGAAUGCCACGGUGAAUACGUUCCCGGGCCUUGUACACACCGCCCGUCACACCAUGGGAGUGGGUUGCAAAAGAAGUAGGUAGCUUAACCUUCGGGAGGGCGCUUACCACUUUGUGAUUCAUGACUGGGGUGAAGUCGAAACAAGGUAACCGUAGGGGAACCUGCGGUUG